rnacentral:rRNA from 1 species
GACGAACGCUGGCGGCGUGCUUAACACAUGCAAGUCGAACGGAAAGGCCCUGCUUUUGUGGGGUGCUCGAGUGGCGAACGGGUGAGUAACACGUGAGUAACCUGCCCUUGACUUUGGGAUAACUUCAGGAAACUGGGGCUAAUACCGGAUAGGAGCUCCUGCUGCAUGGUGGGGGUUGGAAAGUUUCGGCGGUUGGGGAUGGACUCGCGGCUUAUCAGCUUGUUGGUGGGGUAGUGGCUUACCAAGGCUUUGACGGGUAGCCGGCCUGAGAGGGUGACCGGCCACAUUGGGACUGAGAUACGGCCCAGACUCCUACGGGAGGCAGCAGUGGGGAAUAUUGCACAAUGGGCGGAAGCCUGAUGCAGCAACGCCGCGUGCGGGAUGACGGCCUUCGGGUUGUAAACCGCUUUCGCCUGUGACGAAGCGUGAGUGACGGUAAUGGGUAAAGAAGCACCGGCUAACUACGUGCCAGCAGCCGCGGUGAUACGUAGGGUGCGAGCGUUGUCCGGAUUUAUUGGGCGUAAAGGGCUCGUAGGUGGUUGAUCGCGUCGGAAGUGUAAUCUUGGGGCUUAACCCUGAGCGUGCUUUCGAUACGGGUUGACUUGAGGAAGGUAGGGGAGAAUGGAAUUCCUGGUGGAGCGGUGGAAUGCGCAGAUAUCAGGAGGAACACCAGUGGCGAAGGCGGUUCUCUGGGCCUUUCCUGACGCUGAGGAGCGAAAGCGUGGGGAGCGAACAGGCUUAGAUACCCUGGUAGUCCACGCUGUAAACGGUGGAUACUAGGUGUGGGGUCCAUUCCACGGGUUCCGUGCCGUAGCUAACGCUUUAAGUACCCCGCCUGGGGAGUACGGCCGCAAGGCUAAAACUCAAAGGAAUUGACGGGGCCCCGCACAAGCGGCGGAGCAUGCGGAUUAAUUCGAUGCAACGCGUAGAACCUUACCUGGGUUUGACAUGGAUCGGGAGUGCUCAGAGAUGGGUGUGCCUCUUUUGGGGUCGGUUCACAGGUGGUGCAUGGCUGUCGUCAGCUCGUGUCGUGAGAUGUUGGGUUAAGUCCCGCAACGAGCGCAACCCUUGUUCACUGUUGCCAGCACGUUAUGGUGGGGACUCAGUGGAGACCGCCGGGGUCAACUCGGAGGAAGGUGGGGAUGACGUCAAGUCAUCAUGCCCCUUAUGUCCAGGGCUUCACGCAUGCUACAAUGGCUGGUACAGAGAGUGGCGAGCCUGUGAGGGUGAGCGAAUCUCGGAAAGCCGGUCUCAGUUCGGAUUGGGGUCUGCAACUCGACCUCAUGAAGUCGGAGUCGCUAGUAAUCGCAGAUCAGCAACGCUGCGGUGAAUACGUUCCCGGGGCUUGUACACACCGCCCGUCAAGUCAUGAAAGUUGGUAACACCCGAAGCCGGUGGCCUAACCGUUGUGGGGGAGCCGUCGAAGGUGGGACUGGUGA